CCUGUCCUACGGGGCGCAGCAGUGGGGAAUAUUGCACAAUGGGGGAAACCCUGAUGCAGCGACGCCGCGUGGGCGAGGAAGUACCUCGGUAUGUAAAGCUCUAUCGGCAGGGAAGAAAAAGCGCGCGAGCGCCCUUGACAGUACCUGACUAAGAAGCCCCGGCUAACUACGUGCCAGCAGCCGCGGUAAUACGUAGGGGGCAAGCGUUAUCCGGCUUUACUGGGUGUAAAGGG
rnacentral:rRNA from 1 species